rnacentral:miRNA from 1 species
AGGCAGUGGGGUGUAGUGGAG